UGGAUGUUGAAUUUUGUCAGUGGCUUUUCUGCAUCUAUUCAGCUUGAAGGAGUCCCUUUAACAUUUCUUGUAAAGCUGGUUGAGUGAUGAUAAACUUCAGUUUUUAUAUCUGGAGAACUCAAUCUCUCCAUCAGUUCUGAAGGACAACUUUGCUGGAUGUUGAAAUAUGGAAACAUCUUUAUCUCGAUUUCCAAUCUACCUCCUUUCCCAGGGGCCACCCUAGAAGCUGGUGUGAGCAUCCCGACAAGCUCAUGAAAUGGACGGAGUGGCCUCCAAACGCAGUCAACGUGCUUCACUACACUAGUGACGCCUUCCUAACAGAAUCCCCAAAUUAGUUUUCAUGCUUACAUAGUCAGCAGCAGGCCAGUACCUGGAAAUACUAAACUGAGGGCCCGCACGGGUUCAGGUGCUUACUACUGCUCCCAAAAUGAUAAACACGAGGUGCAUCGGUUAUUGCACAGGACUCACGGAUCCCAGAGGAGAAUGAAAAAUGGGAAGAAUGAAGCAAAGACCAAAAUUUCCGCUUCCUUAAGACUCCCCGGGUCACAGGCUGCCCUAUGACAGUGGCGGUCUCUGGGAUACGCUAACGUCCACCCCAAUUAUCUGGACUCCUCUGACGGUGGUGGCCUGGCGGGGCCAGAACGGGCACCCCCUGGACAGGUCUACUAAGGAAGGCCCCUCUGCACGCGGAAGCCUGCUCCUGGGAGAAGGGCCUCACGCUCAAUCCAUCCCUUUCCGAUCAUUCCAACGGCUUCUCUGAGCAGAUCCAGGUACGCGAGUUACCCAGGCUGCCGAUGCUUCUUGGCAACAGAAGUCAGGUGUUCUUACACCAGGCCCAUUUCUGGUGUUUCUCCUCAAUGGGCGCCAAGGACAGAUCCCCCAGCUUCCCGUGGACACUUCUGAUCAAAGUCCUUUUGGAUGCUAAGGCCUAACAUGGUGGUGGCGAUAAAGGAAAAUGCACAGCUCAUCGUCAGUCUCUUCCGACAACCUUACGCUCUUGUUCCCAGAUAUAUAACCCAGGAAAUUAUUUUUUCAAUGAUAAUCACUCUAAAUUUUGGUUAAUCAAAGAGAUGUUUCUCUCAGACCUUAACAUUUCCUCCUUUUCAAGUGCACAAUUCAGGGUUGUUAGUGCAAUCACAAGGUUUUGCAAUCAGCACUACUAAUUCCAGAAAAAUUUUAUCACCCUAAAAGUGAAAAACUAAGUUAAUAGGAAUAAACUAAGUUAGCAGAAAACUACAGCACCCAUUAAAACUCAUUCUCUAGUCUUCCUCCCCCAACCCCACCCCUGCCCAGCUACUGGCAACCACUAAUUUACUUUCCAUCUUGUUGGACUUGCCAGUUCUGGAAAUUUCACAUAAAUGGAACCUCUCACACAUUAUGUGGCCUUUUGUGUCAAGCUUCUUCCACUUAGCAUAUUUUCAAGGGUCACCCAUGGUGUAGGAUCUACUGGUACUUCCUCUCUUUCCAUGCCUAAGUAAUAUUUCACUGUAUAGACAGAACACAGCUUGUUCAUUCACAAACUGAUCAACAUUUGAGUUGUUUCCACUUCUUGGCUGUGCAAACAAUGCUGUGAAUGCUCCCGUAUAAAUUUCUGUGUGGAUAAAUGUUUUCAUUUCUCCUACAAGUACAUGCAAAGGCUGUGUCAUAAACUCUGUUUAACACCUCAGGAACUGCCGAGAUGUUUUCUGAAGUAGCUGCAGCA